rnacentral:tRNA from 1 species
AAGAUCCUAGCUUAAAGGUUAAAGCAUACCGCUCAUAAUGGUUGAAUAAUGGUUCGAUUCCAUUGGGUCUUA